GGGAUCUGCCCGAUAGAGGGGGAUAACCACUGGAAACGGUGGCUAAUACCGCAUAACGUCGCAAGACCAAAGAGGGGGACCUUCGGGCCUCUCACUAUCGGAUGAACCCAGAUGGGAUUAGCUAGUAGGCGGGGUAAUGGCCCACCUAGGCGACGAUCCCUAGCUGGUCUGAGAGGAUGACCAGCCACACUGGAACUGAGACACGGUCCAGACUCCUACG
rnacentral:rRNA from 1 species